UACGGAGGGGGCAAGCGUUAUUCGGAUUUAUUGGGCGUAAAGGGCGCGUAGGCGGCUUGGUAAGUCAAAGGUGAAAUCCCUCGGCUCAACCGGGGAACUGCCUUUGAAACUGCCUCGCUAGAGUCCGGGAGAGGGUAGCGGAAUUCCCAGUGUAGCGGUGAAAUGCGUAGAUACUGGGAGGAACACCAGUGGCGAAGGCGGCUACCUGGACCGGUACUGACGCUGAGGCGCGAAAGCGUGGGUAGCAAACAGG
rnacentral:rRNA from 1 species